GGCCUGAUAGUUCAGUGGUAGAAUUCUUGCUUUGGGUUGAAAUGUAAGAGGUCUCCGGUUCGAUCCCGGAUUAGGCCC
rnacentral:tRNA from 1 species